rnacentral:snoRNA from 1 species
AUGAUUAUACUUCUAGGGAUCACUCCUACGGUACGCGUCACCAGGACGUCAGUCAAACCUGAUCCUGGAUACUCAGCCGUGUUGAGGAAGCGUGUCGUGCGUCCGUCAGCGUGACAAGGCUCAUGGCUGUUAGCGCUAAUACCGAGCAGACCUGGUCGUUUACCUAGUCGAUCGCGUUGUCGGAGAGUGGGUUGUGACUGCGCUCUUGCCAUCCUCGCCCUCGUGGUGAGGGUGUGAGUGAGUGAGUGUGCAGCGCUCCGACGAGUGGGUCGUGCGAGUUCUGAGCGGU